ensembl:lncRNA
AGCCCAGCCCAGCCCCGCCGCGCCCCUUCUCGCGCCCGCCGCCGGGUUCCGGCCCCGCUGGUGCCGCCUUUGAGGGUCGCCGCGGGCGCGGUGCAGCCGGCCUGAGCCCCCUUCCCCGCUGCGAGGCACCGCCUCUGCGCCCCGCAAAGGGGGUCGGCGCCCGGCUGGGGCAGCCCCGUCGCCGUGGAAACGAGGGCUGCGGGGACCGCUACGAGGGGCCAGGCGCCCGGGCCCCGCGCUCAGGGAGUUCCCGCUGCCCCCAACCCACCCAGCCAGCGUUUACUGAGCAUCUGCGAUGUCUCAGGCGCUGUACACACAUCAGCCUGCACCCAGGUCUUCUCGUGGCCUCCGCCCCUCCGCGCCCUCCCCGUGACUGCCUGCAUCCCUGCUUUACAGACGAGGAAGCCAAGUUUCAGGGCAAUGGAAGCCAGAUAUGCGUGCCUCUCACACACAACCUCCCCCUGGCCAAAAUGGCAUUUCCUUGGGAAAGAGGGCAAGG